rnacentral:lncRNA from 1 species
AUUGAAUUGUAUGACUAUCUAUUGGUAAUUGGGAAAUUUUGAAAAAAUGAAAAAUUCAAAUAAUUUGUUUAAUUAUUUCUAGCUUUAAGUUUAAACAUUUAAAUUCUUUCUCCGUUAGCAAAGAAUGAAAAUAACUUUUGAAUUUUGGAAUUUAUUUGUGAAAAAAAUAGUCGAAAACUAUGUCAAAAUCUAUCAAGGUUUAAAUUCAUACACAACAAUGAAAGAGUAAAUAGUCACACAAUGAAAUAGUCUGUUGAAAUUUUUCCUUUAUUCACUCUGCGGAUAUUCACCCUGUUGGGGUUAAAUGCAUGCAUAAUUUUAAUCUGAAGUAGAAACUUUUCAUUGGCCAGUAUAAGGAAUCAAAUAUGAUUAUUUAGAUUUUCUUUAAAUGGAAGGUUUCAUCAUCACACCAUAAAACAAAAUCAAAUCUAUUGCAAUUACUUGCUGUGAAAAAUGGGUUUAGAACGAGACACCUUCAAUAUCUUGUUACAAGCUCAGGGGAAGUAGAAAUUAAGGAUAACGCUUAAUUAUGUCCUUUCAAAAAAGUCAAUGUAAAGUACCUGGUUGGCUGAGGAGUCUAAAUAGCUCAUUGGAUUGAUUGAUUAUUGGUUGCUUAAUGUCCAGUGGAAAAUAUUUCAUGCAUAUUUUUAAGACGAGGAACUAGCUCAUUGAAAGGGAUCAUUAUCAAUAUGGUUGUGGGUCCUAAUCUAGCUCAAGGGAAAUUUCCUCCAUUAUUCAAUUGACUAUAGCUAUGAUUGCUGGUUUUCCUGCCUUAGGCCCAGGGGAUCUCUUUGGAUAAAAAAAAACUGGGGCCAUGAAAAACCUAAGAGUGCUGAAAAGGGCAUUUGACAUCUCAAUCAUCUAUGUGUUUGAAAAAACAUAAAAAAAAUCAAUAUCUCGGAUUUCAUAAUAAUGUUUGAAAGUGAAUAAGGAUUGUGUGUUCUAAAAAAAAAAAAUUCACAAAAGAAGAUUUAUUUACAGAUGAAAGUUUUCUUGGCAUACAUUUUGGGUACAUUUUAAGUGUACAUUUCCCAUAAUGGUCCAACAUAAAAGAAACAUAUAACUGAAAACAAGGACCAAAUAACAAGCACUUGAAAUAUCAGUAUUGAUAUGUAUAUCAGUGGAGUGGCU